UAAACAUGACAGUUCGUGAGAAAGGAAAUAAAAGGGAUAAUGAAUGGCAUUGCGCGAUUUACAGAUCAACUUUUGAUCAACAACUGAGGAACAUCUGGCAUAUUGCUAUGUCCUUAAACAAAAAAGGAUUUCUCAAGGCAUGCCUACAUACCACAUGUUGGAAGAGUUUGUGGAAUGGCUGAAGGAUGAAAGAAUUUCCAGAAAAAUAAAAUUCUUUAUGAAUUUGUGAAUGGAAAUGAAACCCAAGGAACUAAUAUAUUUGCUUACCAUCCAGUUGAAAGUAUGCUAAUGGAAUAAAGUGCAACUGUCACAGAAGUGCACAAAAUAAGGUCAUGCUUUCUGCAAAAGUUCACCAAGCUAGAUAGAUAGAUAUUCUUU
rnacentral:lncRNA from 1 species